rnacentral:piRNA from 1 species
UGCAUGUCUCUAUUAGCUCCACUGU